GCCUGGCUGGCUCAGUCUGUAGAGCAUGUGACUGUUGAUCUCACGACCAUGAGUUCAAGCCCCACGUUGGGUG
rnacentral:tRNA from 1 species